rnacentral:rRNA from 1 species
GUGGGUAGUUUGACUGGGGCGGUCUCCUCCUAAAGAGUAACGGAGGAGCACGAAGGUUGGCUAAUCCUGGUCGGACAUCAGGAGGUUAGUGCAAUGGCAUAAGCCAGCUUGACUGCGAGCGUGACGGCGCGAGCAGGUGCGAAAGCAGGUCAUAGUGAUCCGGUGGUUCUGAAUGGAAGGGCCAUCGCUCAACGGAUAAAAGGUACUCCGGGGAUAACAGGCUGAUACCGCCCAAGAGUUCAUAUCGACGGCGGUGUUUGGCACCUCGAUGUCGGCUCAUCACAUCCUGGGGCUGAAGUAGGUCCCAAGGGUAUGGCUGUUCGCCAUUUAAAGUGGUACGCGAGCUGGGUUUAGAACGUCGUGAGACAGUUCGGUCCCUAUCUGCCGUGGGCGCUGGAGAACUGAGGGGGGCUGCUCCUAGUACGAGAGGACCGGAGUGGACGCAUCACUGGUGUUCGGGUUGUCAUGCCAAUGGCACUGCCCGGUAGCUAAAUGCGGAAGAGAUAAGUGCUGAAAGCAUCUAAGCACGAAACUUGCCCCGAGAUGAGUUCUCCCUGAGACUUUAGGUCUCCUGAAGGAACGUUGAAGACGACGACGUUGAUAGGCCGGGUGUGUAAGCGCAGCGAUGCGUUGAGUUAACCGGUACUAAUGAACCGUGAGGCUUAACCUUACAACGCCGAAG